rnacentral:rRNA from 1 species
UGGCCUACGGGAGGCAGCAGUGGGGAAUAUUGGGCAAUGGGCGCAAGCCUGACCCAGCAACGCCGCGUGAGGGACGAAGGUCUUCGGAUCGUAAACCUCUGUCAGCAGGGAAGAACGGUCACUGUGCUAAUCAGCAGUGAAUUGACGGUACCUGCAAAGGAAGCACCGGCUAACUCCGUGCCAGCAGCCGCGGUAAUACGGAGGGUGCGAGCGUUAAUCGGAAUUACUGGGCGUAAAGCGCUCGUAGGCGGUAUGUCAAGUCAAGGAUGAAAUCCCCGCGCUCAACGUGGGAACUGCCUUUGAAA